UCAAAUUUGAAAUCUGGCACCUUCGGUGUCCGAGUUGUAAUUUGAAGAAGGUAACUUUGGAGUUGGCUCUUGUCUAUGUUCCUUGGAACAGGACGUCACAGAGGGUGAGAAUCCCGUGCGAUGAGAUGUCCAACUCUAUGUAAAGUGCUUUCGAAGAGUCGAGUUGUUUGGGAAUGCAGCUCUAAGUGGGUGGUAAAUUCCAUCUAAAGCUAAAUAUUGGCGAGAGACCGAUAGCGAACAAGUACAGUGAUGGAAAGAUGAAAAGAACUUUGAAAAGAGAGUGAAAAAGUACGUGAAAUUGUUGAAAGGGAAGGGUUUGAGAUCAGACUUGGUAUUUUGUAUGUCUUGCUUUCGGGUGGGGCCUCUGCAGUUUACUGGGCCAGCAUCGGUUUGGACGGUAGGAUAAUGACAUUGGAAUGUGGCACUACUUCGGUGGUGUGUUAUAGACUUUGUUGAUACUGCCUGUCUAGACCGAGGACUGCGUCUUUGACUAGGAUGCUGGCAUAAUGAUCCUAAACC
rnacentral:rRNA from 1 species